AUGUUUUUGUUCUCUGCAGGUCUUCCAUGGAGGAGACAAACUGGCAUCCUUGUGCUUCUAGGAACAGUUUGCAUGAUUAUUUUCAUGGUUUUGACUUCUGUCAUCUAUUCCCAUCAAGAACGAAAGUUCUCAAUGCUGGAGAGCUGGAUGAAAAGCCAUACUUCUGAUCUAACCUCAGUCAAAUCUGAUUUUCAGAACACGGGAGGUGACCUAGAAAAGAAGGCUGCUGAGCUGCAGAAUUUAGUGUUCAGCCUGAGAUCAUAUUUCAACACGUCUGGAUCAAGUAACCCAGACACCAGAGAUAUGCAAAUAAAGAAGCUGUCUAAUAUUGAGACCCUGAUGAACUCUCUCGGCUCGUCACUGAGUUCACUCGCAUCCAAACAAGAAGAAAACCUACAAAAGCUGGGUGAGCACUGGACGUAC
ensembl:lncRNA